rnacentral:rRNA from 1 species
CCUACGGGUGGCUGCAGUGGGGAAUAUUGGACAAUGGGGGCAACCCUGAUCCAGCCAUGCCGCGUGUGUGAAGAAGGCUUUCGGGUUGUAAAGCACUUUCAGUGAGGAGGAAGACUCAAAGGUUAAUACCCUUUGGGAUUGACGUUACUCACAGAAGAAGCACCGGCUAACUCCGUGCCAGCAGCCGCGGUAAUACGGAGGGAGCUAGCGUUGUUCGGAAUUACUGGGCGUAAAGCGCACGUAGGCGGCUUUGUAAGUCAGAGGUGAAAGCCUGGAGCUCAACUCCAGAACUGCCUUUGAGACUGCAUCGCUUGAAUCCAGGAGAGGUGAGUGGAAUUCCGAGUGUAGAGGUGAAAUUCGUAGAUAUUCGGAAGAACACCAGUGGCGAAGGCGGCUCACUGGACUGGUAUUGACGCUGAGGUGCGAAAGCGUGGGGAGCA